GCCAGAAUAGCUCAAUUGGGAGAGCUCUUGACUGAAGUUGUUUACGCAACAAUCAUCUAAAGGCCCCCGGUUCAAUCCCGGGUUCCGGCA
rnacentral:tRNA from 1 species